GCCGCAGUAGCUCAGCUGGAAGAGCGCCCGGCUGUUAACCGGGCGGUCGCUGGUUCGAGUCCAGCCUGCGGCG
rfam:Acidianus hospitalis W1, complete genome.